UCACUCCCCAGGCCCCGGAUCCUCGCGCCGGUUCGCCUGGGCCGGGCCCUUCUGCCCCGCCCCGGGCUGCCUGGCCCCCCUCCGCGCACGCGGCUUUCCCGGGCCCUAGGGAGCGCAAGACCCGGGCUCCAGGCCGCCGCCGCCCCCCAAGCCUGGAAGAAAUGUACAGCCGGGCUGGGCAGCUGCGUGGUGCCGAAACCAUCCCUGCCUCGCCAGCCACUCAGAGCCCUGAGUCCGGCCCUACCCGCUGCUUGCCUCCCUCCCCCGGCCCCUCGCUGCUCUGCCACCAUGGCCUGGGGGGCAGCCGCCGUGCUGGGCGCAGUCGCUUGAAUUUCCGAGCACUCCUAUGAGACCCACGCGGAUGUCUGUCUGUCUGUCUGUCUGUCUGCCUGCCCGAUUCCCGGCUGCCCCGCCCAUCACCCCGCUACCAGCAGCAGGGCCACCUCCCCGUCAGACACAGGGUCUGGAGACCCCCUGGCUGUGCAUUGUGCCGGGACACAUUAAGACAGAGCAGUUUUUCACACUACACCGGCUAAGGGCAGCGAAUACGCAGCGGGAUGAGGAGGAAAGACCUUUGGCUGCUAUACCAACCAUCCCCACCCAGGGUCCGAGCCACUGCAUCCUCACAGUCGCCCCAUUAGGUUCCAGGGCAGUGUGUCCCCCGGUGCCGGAGACCCGGAGCCAGAUUUCUGGCUGAAAUCGUCUUCAUCGGAGAAAUCCGCAGAGGAAGACAUGGAGCAUCGGUAGGAGGCGUUUCCAGAGCUCUACACAGAGAUACACAGAGACUGUAUGAAUAUACAAUACAUAGUGUGAUCGCCACAGUCCGCCUAGACUGUUUUACAAGCACCCCACCGAGAAAUAAAAACACUGAAAAAAAAUAGGUCGCUCACCAUCGUUGUAUAUUUAUAUGAGUAUGUGUGUGUAACUCCACAGAUGGUACCCCCCAAAUAUCCUGAUUUAGUGACAAUGCAUUUAGGAGGAUUUAUGCGGAAGAAGUGUGGCCUGCGGUCAGGCAACCAGCUCACAAAUGAUCUCGGACUAGCCCAACAAUAAACCCAGCAGCAACAAAAACCUCCCGGUUACAAACUGAUAGCAUUUGGCUCCCCCGCCAGGCCAAGGGAAAGAUUUACCAUCACCAGGCUGCUGAUUAAAUCAUUAAUGUAACUCUGUCUAAAAAAAACCCCACCAACAAACGCAGGAUGCUGAGCCUUUGUUACUGCAAGUAGGUUUCCGAAACCACACCCUGAGCAGUCAGCAGCUGCCCAGAACCGGAUCACUGCCGGGAAUAAAAAUGAUGCAGUGCAGGGCCAUGAACCGGCGGUGCCAUUUCUGGAUUCCCUAGCCUGCUAGAGGAAGUGGGAAAAUGAGAUGCUUAAAUGGUGGCACUUUAGUCUAUAUUUGGUGAACAAAUCUUCAGGAUCGACCCUCGCACACAAGUGGGAGCUGAUGCAGGAUCGUGUGUCUUCCUAUUUGUUUCUCUGCAUUUCCUACUUAAGGAUGUUUGGGACUUUGCCAGUGCACCUGAUUGGAAAACAAUGUCUAUAUUUGCUGAUUCAAGAUGGAGAUGUACAAUAGUCCUUGCGCUGUGUAAUCUGGCUCCAACCCAGGGUAUGAUAUUAGUGGCAUUCAUUUUUCGUGGCAUGUUAUUCUCAGUCUGGUUUGUUAUAUAUUAGUAUUCUUUGUUUUGUAGAGUCCAUCUUAAGCCCUUCUAGACUCCACGGUUUCUUGGAUCAGGAAACUGAAGAUAUAAAUGCCUGCUAAUAUUUUCAACUUGUUUUUUUGGCUGCCAGCCUCCUCUAGAAGGGCUUGAGAUGUGCCCCUAUUGAAUUAAAACAUAAUUCAUUGUGGCUCAAUUAUUAUUGGUGAUAAUUUUUCUUUCACUUCUGAAAUGUUUUUUAUGGUUUUCACUGUAAUCAUGCAUUGGUUGACAAGAUAUAUUAUUAUUUAGAUUGGCAUUUUAGUUUUUUUUUUUAAUGAAAACUGCACAACCCAGAAGCAUAAUUGAUUGAAUAAUGCAAUGAAAAUGUUAUGCUACAGCCUAAAUUGCAAUCAUACACAGUUAAAUAAUCCUCUAAAUAAAGGGUGAACAAACAUUAGUGGGUGAUCAUUUUCAAGUGUACUCUAGUUCCCUUUUCUAUCAUUGUUCAGGUCCAUGUGUUAAAGUACAGAAAAAAUAUUGAAUCCAAAACAAUUUUGAACAAUUCUCUCACUAAAUUCUUGCAUUGUUCACCAAAACAUGAUGUAAAGACAGCGUAGGGGAUUGAGUACAGUGCUGGGAGUCAGAAAGCUGCGGAGAUCUAAUCAGAGCUAUGAUUCUCUAACUGGUGUUGGUGCAGGGGAAAUCCUGUAGUACUCAUGGAAAAUGGAAUUCUUCCCACAAGGCCACAGAAUAGAGGUGCAGGUACCCUACCCCUACAGUUUAAGUGCACCCCUUGCAGGGGUAGGGAAGUUUAGUCAAUAAUUCCUGGUAGACAGAGGUUUGAUCAAUAAUUUUGUGUAGACAUGAGUUCAGUUUCUCCUGGCCUGACCUUAGCUUCAAAGACUUUUCUGCAACUAACGUGAAAAGAAGUCCUCAAGGGCCUCAGCUCCAUGGUUCCCAACUAGCCAUGUCCAGCCUUCAUGGAGUCCACAUAUCCCAUCUCCCGCUACACACAUUGGC